rnacentral:rRNA from 1 species
UAAAACGUAGGUCCCGAGCGUUGUUCGGANUUCACUGGGUGUAAAGGGCGCGUAGGUGGUUGUCUGUGUCUCAUGUGAAAACUCAGGGCUCAACUCUGAGAUUGCGUGGGAAACUAGGCAGCUAGAGGACGGUAGAGGGGAGUGGAAUUCCCGGUGUAGCGGUAAAAUGCGUAGAUAUCGGGAGGAACACCGGUGGCGAAGGCGGCUCUCUGGGCCGAUCCUGACGCUGAGGCGCGAAAGCUAGGGGAGCGAACCGGAUUAGAUACCCGGGUAGUCCUAGCCGUAAACGAUGGGUGCUAGGUGUUGGGGGGUAAAGACCCUUCAGUGCCGAAGCCAACGCGAUAAGCAUCCCACCUGGGGAGUACGGCCGCAAGGUUGAAACUCAAAGGAAUUGGCGGGGGUCCGCACAAGCGGCGGAGCAUGUGGUUUAAUUCGAUGCUGCCCGAAGAACCUUACCAGGGUUUGACAUGCUGGUGGUAGGAACCUGAAAGGGGGACGACCCAACCGUAAGGGAGGGAGCCAGCACAGGUGUUACAUGGCUGUCGUCAGCUCGUGCCGUGAGGUGUCGGCUUAAGUGCCGUAACGAGCGCAACCCUCAUCCCUAAUUGCUCCUGGCAGGUAAAAGGGUCAGAGCACAAUAGGGAGACCGCUGGCGAAGAGCCAGAGGAAGGGGAGGAUGACGUCAAGUCAGCAUGGCCUUUAUGCCCUGGGCUACACACAUGCUACAAUGCAGGGUACAACGGGAAGCGAAGCCGCGAGGUGGAGCAAAUCCCCAAAAGCCCUGCUCAGUUCGGAUCGCACGCUGCAAUUCGCGUGCGUGAAGUCGGAGUCGCUAGUAACCGUGGAUCAGCAAAGCCGCGGUGAAUACGUUCUCGGGCCCUUGCACACACCGCCCGUCAAGCCACCCGAGUCGGGUUCACCAGAAGGCCGGUAACCGAAGAGGGCCGGACGACGGUGUGCCUGGUAAGGAGGGCU